CCCCAGAGCUUGACCCAUUUUAUUUUAUUAUUAUUUUUUCUUUUUAUUUUUAAAAAUUUUUUAAGUUCCAGUUAGUUAACAUGCAGUGUAGUAUUAGUGUCAGGUGGACAGUAUAGUGAUUCCACACUUCCGUGUAACACCCAGUGCUCAUCACAAAUGCAUUCCUUAAUCCCCAUCAUCUAUUCCACCCAUCCCGCCCCAUCCACUUCCCCUCUGGGAACCCGAGCUUAACUCAUUUUAAAUGGUUGGUUAAUACUUGUUGAAUCAAUGAAAGGAUAAGAGAAUAAACUGAAUAUUUAGCAUCAAAACUGAGUUGAAGGUAACUGUUUAUGGAUUGCAUAGUUCAUUCAGCCAAUGAUAACAUCAUUUAACAUACCAGUUAAAAACUAAGUAUCUAGAAAAUACGAUGGUAUCAGCAAAGUCUACUGAGAAAAAAUUCAGGUUAAUCAGAGGUUUCCAAGCAUGACUCUGCAUUUGAGUGCUGUCGGCUUUUCAGAACACAGAAUAGACAUAGUCUAGAUUACUAUCUGCCCUGCGGCCAGCACCUGGACAUCACACGGAAGGCAUUGCCCCAACUCCUUCUAUCUGGGUCUUUCGAGCCUUUGUCCUUCUUGUCAGGAAUGGCGUUUCUUGGAAACUGCUUUCUGAGCUCUUUUUGUAAGAAAAAUGAUUUGUUGAGAUAAUGAUCUGCACAGUAUGACAGGGUAUUUCAAGCACCACUUCCUCUUGGAGGGUAAAUCAGUAUUUUGGGUCACUGUUUAAGAAUUUGUCUUUUUUGGUGUUGUAGGAACACUGCUCUUCACAUAGAUAGCUUCCACUCUUGGGAUGAGGAUAUGAUGAAUCUUCUAACCUCAAUGUUUCUGACAUUUACAUCUAUGUGCUUCUGGAAAGACUCAUUUCUAAGACAUCAAAGCUGGUUGAAAGAUUGCACCCAAAAGGUACCUGUGGACUGGCAGGCACGAGGAGGGGCAAACCAAAGCGGAGACAACAUGAGAAUCUCACAGCAGAUAAAUGCAAGUGACCUGGAUCCUCCAUGACACUGCAGCUGCUGAAUUAACCUACAGGGAGCCUCUCUACACGGGGAAUUCUUACAAUGUAAGUAAAUAAAUGUUACUUUUUUUAUUUUUAUUUUUUAAAU
rnacentral:lncRNA from 12 species